rnacentral:rRNA from 1 species
AUUGAACGCUGGCGGCAUGCUUUACACAUGCAAGUCGAACGGUAACAGGCCGCAAGGUGCUGACGAGUGGCGAACGGGUGCGUAAUGCAUCGGAACGUGCCCAGUCGUUGGGGAUAACUACUCGAAAGAGUAGCUAAUACCGCAUACGAUCUAUGGAUGAAAGCGGGGGACCGUAAGGCCUCGCGCGAUUGUAGCGGCCGAUGUCAGAUUAGGUAGUUGGUGGGGUAAAGGCUCACCAAGCCAACGAUCUGUAGCUGGUCUGAGAGGACGACCAGCCACGCUGGGACUGAGACACGGCCCAGACUCCUACGGGAGGCAGCAGUGGGGAAUUUUGGACAAUGGGCGCAAGCCUGAUCCAGCAAUGCCGCGUGCAGGAAGAAGGCCUUCGGGUUGUAAACUGCUUUUGUACGGAACGAAACGGCUCUGGUUAAUACCCGGGGCUAAUGACGGUACCGUAAGAAUAAGCACCGGCUAACUACGUG